GACGAACGCUGGCGGCGUGCUUAACACAUGCAAGUCGAACGGCAAGGCACUGCUUUUGUGGGGUGCUCGAGUGGCGAACGGGUGCGUAACACGUGAGUAACCUGCCCUUGACUUUGGGAUAACUUCAGGAAACUGGGGCUAAUACCGGAUCGGAGCUCCUGCUGCAUGGUGGGGGUUGGAAAGUUUCGCCGGGUGGGGAUGGACUCGCGGCUUAUUAGUUAGUUGGUGGGGGAGUGGCUUACCAAGGCGUUGAUGGGUAGCUGGCGUGAGAGGGUGACCGGCGACACUGGAAGUGGGACACGGGCCAGAGUCCUACGGGAGGCAGCAGUGGGGAAUAUUGGACAAUGGGCGGAAGCCUGCUCCAGCGCUACCGCGUGGGUGAAGAAGGCCUUCGGGUUGUAAAGACCUUUUGUGGGGAAAGAAAAGCAGCAGGUUAAUACCCAGCUGUUCUGACGGUACCCAAAGAAUAAGCACCGGCUAACUUCGUG
rnacentral:rRNA from 1 species